GCAGUCGUGGCCGAGUGGUUAAGUCAAUAGACUAGAAAUCCAUUGGGGUCUCCCCGCAUAGGUUCGAAUCCUGUCGACUGCG
rfam:Ixodes scapularis strain Wikel colony gcontig_1107728880860, whole genome shotgun sequence.